rnacentral:rRNA from 1 species
UACGUAGGGGGCUAGCGUUGUCCGGAUUUAUUGGGCGUAAAGAGCGUGUAGGCGGCCAGGUAGGUCUGCUGUGAAAACCCGCGGCUCAACCGCGGGCCUGCAGCCGAUACGGGCAGGCUAGAGUUCGGUAGGGGAGACUGGAAUUCCUGGUGUAGCGGUGAAAUGCGCAGAUAUCAGGAGGAACACCGGUGGCGAAGGCGGGUCUCUGGGCAACAACUGACGCUGAGGAGCGAAAGCGUGGGGAGCGAACAGG